UGGGCGUAAGAGCUCGUAGGCGGUUUGUCGCGUCUGCCGUGAAAGUCCGGGGCUCAACUCCGGAUCUGCGGUGGGUACGGGCAGACUAGAGUGAUGUAGGGGAGACUGGAAUUCCUGGUGUAGCGGUGAAAUGCGCAGAUAUCAGGAGGAACACCGAUGGCGAAGGCAGGUCUCUGGGCAUUAACUGACGCUGAGGAGCGAAAGCAUGGGGAGCGAACAGGAUUAGAUACCCUGGUAGUCCAUGCCGUAAACGUUGGGCACUAGGUGUGGGGGACAUUCCACGUUUUCCGCGCCGUAGCUAACGCAUUAAGUGCCCCGCCUGGGGAGUACGGCCGCAAGGCUAAAACUCAAAGGAAUUGACGGGGGCCCGCACAAGCGGCGGAGCAUGCGGAUUAAUUCGAUGCAACGCGAAGAACCUUACCAAGGCUUGACAUGAACUGGAAACACUUGGAAACAAGUGCCCCGCUUGCGGUCGGUUUACAGGUGGUGCAUGGUUGUCGUCAGCUCGUGUCGUGAGAUGUUGGGUUAAGUCCCGCAACGAGCGCAACCCUCGUUCUAUGUUGCCAGCACGUAGUGGUGGGGACUCAUAGGAGACUGCCGGGGUCAACUCGGAGGAAGGUGAGGACGACGUCAAAUCAUCAUGCCCCUUAUGUCUUGGGCUUCACGCAUGCUACAAUGGCCGGUACAAUGGGUUGCGAUACUGUGAGGUGGAGCUAAUCCCAAAAAGCCGGUCUCAGUUCGGAUUGGGGUCUGCAACUCGACCCCAUGAAGUCGGAGUCGCUAGUAAUCGCAGAUCAGCAACGCUGCGGUGAAUACGUUCCCGGG
rnacentral:rRNA from 1 species